rnacentral:rRNA from 1 species
AAAUUGAAGAGUUUGAUCAUGGCUCAGAUUGAACGCUGGCGGCAGGCCUAACACAUGCAAGUCGAGCGGUAGCACAGAGAGCUUGCUCUCGGGUGACGAGCGGCGGACGGGUGAGUAAUGUCUGGGAAACUGCCUGAUGGAGGGGGAUAACUACUGGAAACGGUAGCUAAUACCGCAUAACGUCGCAAGACCAAAGUGGGGGACCUUCGGGCCUCAUGCCAUAAGAUGUGCCCAGAUGGGAUUAGCUAGUAGGUGGGGUAA